rnacentral:rRNA from 1 species
UACGUAGGGGGCGAGCGUUGUCCGGAUUUAUUGGGCGUAAAGGGCUCGUAGGCGGACCGGUAAGUCUGGCGUGAAAUCUCCACCGCUCAACGGGGAGAGGUCGCUGGAUACUGCCGGUCUGGAGUGCGGCAGAGGACCAUGGAAUUCCAGGUGUAGCGGUGGAAUGCGUAGAUAUCAGGAGGAACACCGGUGGCGAAGGCGGGUCUCUGGGCCAUUACUGACGCUGAGGAGCGAAAGCGUGGGGAGCAAACAGG